AGCUGGCUCUGGUUGGAGGACUGGAACUCCAGGAGGGUCUGGGAGGCCAUCCACGGUGACCUGCAAUGAACAUCACAGAGCAUCACAUGGGAGGCGGCCAUUCUACCCCGCAGCCCAUCCAGUGUGUCCCCAGUUUUGGAAAAUAAAGUUUUAUUGGCACACAGCCGCAUCCAUUCAUUUACCUUUUGUGUUACAACAGCAGAGUUGAGUGGUUGCAACAGUGGCCCUUUGGCCUGCCAAACUGAAAAUACUUACCCCCUAUUCCCUUAGAGGAAAAGUAUGCUGACCCCGGGUAUAAAGGAAAGGACCAGGGCUUUUGAAACCCGAGUUCAAAUCUUGACGUAACUACUUGUUGUGGGCCACUUAGACCAACUGACUUUUAUUUUCCUUUUUGAACAUUGGACCUAAUUGUAUCCCUCUUGUGGGAUUGUGGCAAGGACUGGCGAGUGUAUCUGUGGAGAGCUUGGCCUGGUCGCCUGGCUUAGAGGAAGCGCUCAGUGGAAAGGGAGGACGAGUCUUAUUUGCAACCAUACCAUUAUUAUCAGCACUGUUUCGUUACACAAAGUACUGGCACAAAGUAGGUGCUCGUGUUUGAUUGAAGGAGUACCUACUUUGCACCAGUACUUUGCCAGGUGCUGGAGAUCCGGGGAACAAGGCCCAGCCCCCUGGAGGUGCUCGCCAUCUAGAGGGAGGCAGACAUGGAGACAGUGGUCGAUGACCGGAGAUGGAAUGAAGCAAGGAAGAGGCCCGGCCCUCAGGGAUGCUGAUCCACUGGGACGGGGACCAGUCAGGUGGAGGAGGUGAGGGCAGUAGUAGAAGGUGGGGGGUUUCUGGCACUCCACACCUAAAAUUCCUCCUCCCAUCUGGAUGAGUUAAUAUAUGCAAAGUGCUUCAAAGGGUUCCUGGCUCUUUGUAGGCACUUGCUACCCGUUAGCUACUGUUAUCAUCAUCGUUAUCCUUAGUGAUGCCUAAGAGUCCUUCCCUUCAACUGGGCAUAACUCAUAGCAUCCAACACAAGAUAUCACGUAAGAGAACUGAUCUCGGGAAAAUCUAUUCGGCUCUGCAGUCUUAGGCAAUCACUUUGUGUCUCUGAGCCCGACUUUCAUCUGCGGAGGACGUGAUGACCUUCUCGCUGUGAUGCUGCAACCCACACACUGUGCCAUUCACAUUGGGUAAAAUCCAUGGGUCCCUCCAUUCAUUCAUCCACUAGACAAGUAUGUACUGAGCACACACUAUGUGCUAGGCACUGUUCUAGGUGUUUGGGACAUAGCAGUGAAUCAAACAAGCAACACCCCCUGCCCUCAAGGUGCUUCUAGCCUUAUGGGAGGAGAGAGGCGAUGACAGUAAGUAUACUGAAUAAACCCGUUAGCCGGGGAGGGGCAGCCAUGGAAGCGGUGAGAUGCGACCAGGCUCUAGGUAUGGUCUGAAGGUAGAAUCACCAUGAUUUCCAGUCGGAUAUGGGUUAUGACAAAAGGGGAAUUGCAUGAUGCUUAGAUGUUUGUCCUGAGCCCCCGGAAAUAGGAAGCUGCAGUCAACUGAACUGGAGACGACAGAGUGACGGUGGAGCAGGUUUCUUGGCGGGGAAGAUCGGGGGUUCACAUCUGGACGUGUGAAGGCUGAGCUGUCUGUUGGACAUCAGAGACCGUUAUAAGGCACAAAGAGGUGGCUGGUGGAAGACCCAGAAACAGAGGACAGCCUGGCCAGCUGGGCGGGACAGACCGACCCUCCCUGAAAUUGCCCUCAGUGUUAACGCAGCGGGACCCCAGGCAGGUACGGUUGGGCUCGGACUAUGCUCGAUGCAGAUUCAAGGAAAGGAUGCGCUGGAGUUGUAGGAACUUGGGGACGAAGAGGUUAUGUCCCCACUCUGGCAUUCAGGAUCGCUUUCCGGCUCUCCAGCCGCUAAGCCCUGGAGUCACUUUGUCUCUUCUCCUUUCCAGUCACAUCCAGCAGCUUCUUCAAGGUCAAAGACUCUGGUAUAUUUCAUCCAGCGCAACUCUACGAAUGAUAUCUAUAUGACUAGCCUCUUGCGCGGGGGUGCGGGCGAGGGUCCUACUCAGCCCUUAAAAUAGCUGGCAUCUCUCUUACAACCUCCACUGCAGUUAGGGAAAGAAAACUACUGCGGGGCGACUUCCCACCAGGAUGAAAGGCAGCAUUUUCGUUUCCGUCUAGCUAGUGCUCUUCCCCUCUGCCCAAGCCUUCCUUCCCAUCUUGGUUUUAGACACUCAUGAAGCAAAUAAGCCUGCAACAAAGAACCCCAAACCAAUCUCCUUGCUUUCUGAUUUUUUCCCCUUCAGUUUAUCCUUGGGCUAGAUGAAUAUUCCGGAAAGACUUGGAUUUUGUCACUUCAACCCCCCUGGAAUUCACAGACUCCUUGGCAGUCCUGCUGUGUCACCCAGAGCCACCUCUACCUGGUUCUUCCAUUCUGGCUGAGAGGGAAGCCCCAUGGGCCUAAUGCAUCUGGACUCACCGACCUGUGAGCGUUCGCUAGAAAUCACCAUCCCAAUCCUCUCUUUCUGCUUCACGUGCAUGCAUCAUUCAAAUCCCAUUGUAAGCUCUGCUGCUUUGUAAGCGCAGGUCUGAACGUUUUUCUUCCUGUUCUGCGAACGCGUGGGGAGCAGCUCCAUGGGGCCAGGGGUGAACUGGGGGCGGGGGGCAGAGAGGACGUCUCAGCAUCCGUGCUGGGCCACUCACGCUCAGGUGGAUCUAGCAGGUGAGCAAGCAGACACCUGCAGCCCUGUGUGGCAAAGGCCACGGCAGAAGAGCACCGCACAGCUGCAGCACGAAGGGGGCAGGGCGGGGCAGGGCUGGAGUAACGGGUCAUGAUGCCAGGGAGAUAAAAAUAAACUCCUCCGUGUAGGUUUAACAAAGUGCAAAGACCCAGAAAUCAACAGGGAGACAGCUGCCAACUUGAGUGUGUCCUGGGCAUUCAGGCAGUGCAGGCACUGCCCUGGCCUGAGUUCAUGGCCGUUUAGAAGCCAAGGGUUCUUGGGGCCUGUCACUCUGCAGAGAAAACUCCGCUGGGACAGGGGUUCCAUGGACCACGAAAGUUUAAGAAAGUCCACAGAAAACUCUCCAUCCCCAUGUUGGUCUUGCUCUGGGAGAUCAGGUUUUCUCAGCUGGGUAGUGGGCUCACUAGAAACCUCCUCUUAGGGAAGCUGGGAGGAUCCCAUGAGCUAACACAGCCUGGAGCUUGGCACAUGCUGGCACUCAGGAAAUGCCCCCCAGGGGCAACACUCAGAAGGGGUCUGCCAGAGGAUGGUCAGCCAUGUUCCUCGGUGUUCUACUGCCUAAGUCAGACCAUGGCAUGUCCUGUCUCGGGCCCAGGAGGACACUAAGAUUGGACAGUGGCCCUCAAGGCCACAGCGCCCCACCCCCUGAUGCAUUUCUGAUCAUCCCUUUCACUCUCUCCACCUGUUCCCUGGCCUCCUUUUGAACAAGCCGUGCUGUCUCCUACCUCAGGGCCUUUGCACUGGCCAUUCUCUCUGCCUGGAGCGCCCUUCCCAUAGGGACCUGCACACUCACUCCCUCAGGUCCUUCUGGUCCCCACACAUCCCCCCUUAUCAGAGACCCCUCCCCUGAAAUAGCCUUCCCUCCGCUUGCCCAGCUUCACUGUUUGUUACAGCCGUUAUCAUCACCUGGAUACGUUCGUCCGUUUAUCUUUUACUUCCUGUCUCUCCCAGCAGAAUGUGAGCUGCACCGGGCAAAGGGUUUAUCUCUUUUGAUUAGACUCAUGUUCCCAGCUCCUACAACAGGGCUCACAUGCUUAAUAAAUAUUUGCUGAAUGA